GACGAACGCUGGCGGCGUGCUUAACACAUGCAAGUCGAACGGAAAGGCCCUGCUUUUGUGGGGUGCUCGAGUGGCGAACGGGUGAGUAACACGUGAGUAACCUGCCCUUGACUUUGGGAUAACUUCAGGAAACUGGGGCUAAUAACGGAUAGGAGCUCCUGCUGCAUGGUGGGGGUUGGAAAGUUUCGGCGGUUGGGGAUGGACUCGCGGCUUAUCAGCUUGUUGGUGGGGUAGUGGCUUACCAAGGCUUUGACGGGUAGCCGGCCUGAGAGGGUGACCGGCCACAUUAGGACUGAGAUACGGCCCAGACUCCUACGGGAGGCAGCAGUGGGGAAUAUUGCACAAUGGGCGGAAGCCUGAUGCAGCAACGCCGCGUGCGGGAUGACGGCCUUCGGGUUGUAAACCGCUUUCGCCUGUGACGAAGCGUGAGUGACGGUAAUGGGUAAAGAAGCACCGGCUAACUACGUG
rnacentral:rRNA from 1 species